rnacentral:rRNA from 1 species
AGAGUUUGAUCAUGGCUCAGAACGAACGCUGGCGGCAUGGAUUAGGCAUGCAAGUCGAACGAAGUAGCAAUACUUAGUGGCGCAAGGGUGAGGAACGCGUGAGUGACCUACCCGCAAGUUUGGAACAGCUCCUGGAAACGGGAAUUAAUACCGGAUGUGAUCAAUGAGCUGCAUGGUUUAUUGAUUAAAGCAGUAAUGCGCUUGCGGAUGGGCUCGCGUCCCAUUAGCUAGUUGGUGAGGUAACGGCCCACCAAGGCCAUGAUGGGUAGCUGGUCUGAGAGGACGACCAGCCACACUGGGACUGAGAACUGCCCAGACUCCUACGGGAGGCUGCAGUCGAGAAUUUUGGGCAAUGGACGAAAGUCUGAACCCCCAGCAAUGCCGCGUGCGGGAUGAAGGUCUUCGGAUUGUAAACCGCUGUUUGGAGGGACGAAAAUUGACGGUACUUCCAGAGAAAGCCACGGCUAACUACGUGCCAGCAGCGGC